rnacentral:sRNA from 1 species
GCUGGGCGUGGUGGCUCACGCCUGUAAUCCCAGCACUUUGGAAGGCCGAGGUGGGUGGAUCACCUGAGGUCAGGAGUUCAGCACCAGCCUGACCAAUAUGGUGAAAAUUCAUCUCUA